UGACAAUGGCAAAGGGAAUACAGAAGAAUGUGGCCUUGAGAGCCUAGUUCUCUUCUGUUUAUAUAAUCCGUAUACCCGGGAAACAAUCAAACAAGCACACAGCAGAGUACUGUUCAUAGUAUUUUACAGAUCGAUACUAACACUCUCUGAUUAGUACAGUCUGAAAACUAUGCCGCCUUCAUGGCUUCGGAAAUUAGCAAAAGAAAAAAAAAAUUCAUAUUACUAUCUUGAACUAUGAACAAAGUUCCAUAACCCCUAAACUAUCAAACCGUUUAUUUAACCCCUUCCGAUUUUCAAAACCAGUAUACAAUACACCUUUUGCCUCUAAUCAAAACCGGUUUUACUUAUGUGGCGGUGAUUUAAUGCCACCUGAGCUGAUUAAUGGAUCUUCUCCUCCGUUCCUCCUUCCUCCUCUCGCCUUGCCGCCCCCUUGCUCCCACCGCUGGAGCCAGAUUCGCUGGACCUCCCCAUCUCCAUCCUACGGCUGACGAGAAGUCGAAACAUCCGACUCACAAGUCCUACGCAUGCACGCAACUCAGACGUUCCUCAAUUCCUAAUUGCUUUCUUACCAGAGCACCGGCCAAAUCCAUCACCGCCGUUCUACAAGUUGGCACCAACAACAAAGUAAAAUUGAUUCCCCAAGGCCUACUCUUCUCUCAUGCUCUCUCAAUUUUGCUGGAGAUUGCUUAAUUUUUUGUUGGUCGCUGCUACUCUUAAGUCGCUCAAUUCUGACAAAUAAUGGUGGAGGCAUCAUCCUCUCGCGAACCCAGGCCCUACGGCGCCUGUUGCGACAGCCCCAAGAUCUCCUGGACGCGCUCGUCCUCAUCGUCACGCUCCUCCCGUCCCUUGACUUCCUCUGAUUCUGUGCCGCCGUGGCCAACCGCGCGUGGCUGCUCCUACCUAUGUCGUGCGGAUUGCAACGACCACGACCUCCUAAUCGUG
rnacentral:lncRNA from 1 species